GGACUUGUGGCGCAACGGUAGCGCGUGAGAUUCCAAUGAAAGGCUCUCAAGAGCAGAUAGAUCUCGAGGCUGUCCGUUCGAAUCGGGCCAGGUUCA